CCUAACACAUGCAAGUCGAACGGUAACAGGAACCAGCUUGCUGCUUCGCUGACGAGUGGCGGACGGGUGAGUAAUGUCUGGGAAACUGCCUGAUGGAGGGGGAUAACUACUGGAAACGGUAACUAAUACCGCAUAACGUCCCAAGACCAAAGAGGGGGACCUUCGGGCCUCUUGCCGUCGGAUGUGCCCAGAUGGGAUUAGCUUGUUGGUGGGGUAACGGCUCACCAAGGCGACGAUCCCUAGCUGGUCUGAGAGGAUGACCAGCCACACUGGAACUGAGACGCGGUCCAGACUCCUACGGGAGGCAGCACUGGGGAAUAUUGCACAAUGGGCGCAAGCCUGAUGCGGCCAUGCCGCGUGUAUGAAGAAGGCCUUCGGGUUGUAAAGUACUUUCAGCGUCAA
rnacentral:rRNA from 1 species